AAGUCGUAACAAGGUUUCCGUAGGUGAACCUGCGGAAGGAUCAUUAACACUUUUUGAAAGAUUUCAUUUUUUAUUUCGAAAAAUGAAUUUCUUACUUUUACCCACAUUUUUGGAUGAAUUAUCUCUUUUUUAUUCUUUUUUAAAUUUUAUACCCCAAACAAAAACUAAAUACUAUAUUAUUUCUAACAUUUAUACACAAAAAGUUUAAGAAAAACAUAAAAAACAACUCUUAACAACGGAUAUCUAGGCUCUC
rnacentral:misc_RNA from 1 species